ACUACUCCUGCAACCUGCAGCAUUGCAAGUGGAAUGGAUGAACUCUGCUGACCUAAGGGGAAGGCGGAAAGGAGGGGGUCACUAAGAGGAAUAAAAUGUGCAUGUCAGAGUCCAUGUUGAAAUUUAAUCUCCAAUGCAAUAGUAUUAAAAGAGGUGACUGGACCUUUUAAAGGGAGAACAUUCGGCCGGGCGUGGUGGUGUGCAUCUGUGGGCCCAGCUGCUCGGGAGGCUGAGGCGGGAGGAUCACUAGAGCCCAGGAAUUCCAGGUUACGGUGAGGAGAUGGCUCAAGGAAAUUGUCUGGGCAGAGGUCAAGACAUCAUCUUAGCUGAAGAAGGGAUUAAUCUGGGAAGAAGUCAAAAGGUUGUCUUAACUGAAGAUGGAUGAACCCAGCAGAAGUCAUGAGAUUGUCUUAGCCAAAGAUGGGAUUGAUUAGAACCUUUAAAAGCUCUGUACUUCUGCUCAAA